UAUCAGAGAGAGAAUUCAAGAGUACGUGAAACCGUUCGGGGGUAAACCUGAGAAACCCGAAAGAUCGAAAGCCGAGAUACAGCGUCCGCGCCGCCGGUGCUGCGGCGACGGCGUGCACUUCUCGGCCGGUAGGACGUCGCGACCCGUUGGGAGUCGCCGACGCGUAAUGGGGUACGUUCGGGAAGCUCGAGGCGGCGCGGCGGGACUUGUUCCCGUCGUCUUUGCGGCCCCUCGAACCCGAUGCGUCCUCGCCUAGCGUUCGGCACGCCCGACGCGACAUUCAAAAACAGAACGAGGCGUUCGUUCGGCGGUUGCGCUUUUGCGGCGCGCCCGGCUUCGUCGUCGCGCUCACGCGCCGCGGCGAAUGUUCUCGGGCGUGCGCGCUUAAUCGCGCGCACACCGACGUCCGAUCGUCAGCGACGCUUUUGCUUUGGGCGUUUUCAGGACCCGUCUUGAAACACGGACCAAGGAGUCCAACGUGCGCGCGAGUCAAUGGGAGCAAACAGAUAAACCCAAAGGCGAAGCGAAAGCGAAGGUCGGUCGGGGGCGGGGGGCAACUCUCGCAUCCCGUCGGCCGUUGGGAGGAUGGGUCGUGCCCGUCGCGACCCCGCACUCCCGGGGCGUCUCCAUCAGGCAUCGUCGUCGACGUUCGCGCGUCUUCGUUCGGUGCCGGAGGCGCACCUCUAGCGCGCACGCUGGGACCCGAAAGU
rnacentral:rRNA from 1 species